AAAUCUAUGAGCUUGUAUGAUGGUUGGACAAAAAGCAAACUGUCUCAGUUGUAAUAAUUGAAUUUAACUUUUGAGUGAAAAGGCUUAAAUAAGUUAGGGGGACGAUAAGACCCUAUAAAGCUUGACAAUAAGCCGUUUAUAUUAUAAAUUGUUAGUAUAACUUGAUUUUAAAUGGUGUUUGUUGCGUUGGGGAGACGAGAAUAUAA
rnacentral:rRNA from 1 species